AACGAACGCUGGCGGCAUGCCUAACACAUGCAAGUCGAACGAGACCUUCGGGUCUAGUGGCGCACGGGUGCGUAACGCGUGGGAAUCUGCCCUUGGGUUCGGAAUAACAGUUGGAAACGACUGCUAAUACCGGAUGAUGACGUAAGUCCAAAGAUUUAUCGCCCAAGGAUGAGCCCGCGUAGGAUUAGCUAGUUGGUGAGGUAAAGGCUCACCAAGGCGACGAUCCUUAGCUGGUCUGAGAGGAUGAUCAGCCACACUGGGACUGAGACACGGCCCAGACUCCUACGGGAGGCAGCAGUGGGGAAUAUUGGACAAUGGGCGAAAGCCUGAUCCAGCCAUGCCGCGUGAGUGAUGAAGGCCUUAGGGUUGUAAAGCUCUUUUACCCGGGAUGAUAAUGACAGUACCGGGAGAAUAAGCUCCGGCUAACUCCG
rnacentral:rRNA from 1 species